CUCUCUCUCUCAGAAAUAAAUAAAUUACCUUUAAAAAUAAAUAUAUAAAGUGUGCAAGUCUGUGGCUUUACUAUUCAUGAGGUUGUGCAACCAUCACCACUCUCUAAUUCUAGAACACUCUCACCUUCUCAGAAGGAAACCCUGUAUCCAUGAGCACUCCCUCCUCCCCCCGCCCCCCAGCAACCACGAAUCUGCUCCUUCGGCUCUGCAGAUUUGACUCUUCUGGGCAUUUCACGUGGAUGGAAUCCUACCAAAUGUGGCCUUUGGUGGCUGGCUUCUCUCACGGAACGUCCUGUUUCCAGGGUUCAUCCACAUUGUGGCAUCAGCGCCUCCCUCCUGUUUAUGGCUGAGGAGUAGUCCAUUGUGUGGAUGAACAUUUGGGAUGCCCAGCAGUUGUUUCAUCCUCUCCACGGUCCUACCUCGAGCAAACACAUGCUUUUAAAGAGCUUUGUGGUAUUUCGCCAGAACGUGCUGAGCCCUCACAGGUUUUCAACUGGAGGAAGAACGGAUCAGCAGACUGUGGUAUAUCAACACAAUGGAAUAUAAAGGAGCCUGCCUUAUAGAAAGAAAUCCUGGCACCUGUUACAACGUGGAUGAACUUUGAGGACAUUGUGUUCAAUGAAAUAAACCAGACACAAAACAACAAA